rnacentral:lncRNA from 1 species
GAAAUAUUUCAUUACUGAAAAUCUGUAUUUACAAGUCAUUUAUAUUUUCCAAAUAGCAAAAUGCGCAUGGGAUUUUAUUUUUUAAAAUUUUCAAAUGACUAUUUCUCGAAAACAGUUAGUGAUAGACACAUGCGGUCUUCUGUAAUGAGAAAAGGACAACAAUAAAAAACCAAACAACAUAUAGGGUGAGUCCCUUGGUGUCAUCCCAACCCCUUUCAAAUUGAAAAUGUACAUUUAUCUUGUAAACUGUCGCG